CCGUAGGGAAACGUGGGUCUAAUACCGGAUAGGAGCCAUUUUUAGUGUGAUGGUUGGAAAGUUUUUUCGGUGUAGGAUGAGCUCGCGGCCUAUCAGCUUGUUGGUGGGGUAAUGGCCUACCAAGGCGGCGACGGGUAGCCGGCCUGAGAGGGUGGACGGCCACAUUGGGACUGAGAUACGGCCCAG
rnacentral:rRNA from 1 species